rnacentral:rRNA from 1 species
AUUGAACGCUGGCGGCAUGCCUUACACAUGCAAGUCGAACGGUAACAGGUUAAGCUGACGAGUGGCGAACGGGUGAGUAAUGUAUCGGAACGUGCCCAGUCGUGGGGGAUAACUGCUCGAAAGAGCAGCUAAUACCGCAUACGACCUGAGGGUGAAAGCGGGGGAUCGCAAGACCUCGCGCGAUUGGAGCGGCCGAUAUCAGAUUAGGUAGUUGGUGGGGUAAAGGCCUACCAAGCCUACGAUCUGUAGCUGGUCUGAGAGGACGACCAGCCACACUGGGACUGAGACACGGCCCAGACUCCUACGGGAGGCAGCAGUGGGGAAUUUUGGACAAUGGACGCAAGUCUGAUCCAGCCAUGCCGCGUGCGGGAAGAAGGCCUUCGGGUUGUAAACCGCUCUUGUCAGGGAAGAAAAGGUUCUGGUUAAUACCUGGGACUCAUGACGGUACCUGAAGAAUAAGCACCGGCUAACUACGUGCCAGCAGCCGCAGUAACAC